GCGGAGGGAUCAUUACUGAGUUUACGCUCUAUAACCCUUUGUGAACAUACCUAUAACUGUUGCUUCGGCGGGUAGGGUCUCCGUGACCCUCCCGGCCUCCCGCCCCCGGGCGGGUCGGCGCCCGCCGGAGGAUAACCAAACUCUGAUUUAACGACGUUUCUUCUGAGUGGUACAAGCAAAUAAUCAAAACUUUUAACAACGGAUCUCUUGGUUCUGGCAUCGAUGAAGAACGCAGCGAAAUGCGAUAAGUAAUGUGAAUUGCAGAAUUCAGUGAAUCAUCGAAUCUUUGAACGCACAUUGCGCCCGCCAGCAUUCUGGCGGGCAUGCCUGUUCGAGCGUCAUUUCAACCCUCAAGCUCUGCUUGGUGUUGGGGCCCUACAGCUGAUGUAGGCCCUCAAAGGUAGUGGCGGACCCUCCCGGAGCCUCCUUUGCGUAGUAACUUUACGUCUCGCACUGGGAUCCGGAGGGACUCUUGCCGUAAAACCCCCAAUUUUCCAAAGGUUGACCUCGGAUCAGGUAGGAAUACCCGCUGAACUUAAGCAUA
rnacentral:rRNA from 1 species